rnacentral:pre_miRNA from 1 species
AGUGGAAUUGCUAGACCACAUGGUAAUUCUAGGUUUAGCUUUUUGAGGAGCAACCAAACUAUUUUCCACAGUCGCAGUAUCAUUUUACAUUCCUACCAGAAAU